AGCAAUACCUGGCAGGGAAGAUACCAUGAUCAUGAAGGUGGUUUUCCCAGGGUGAGGAUCAUCUAUUGCACUCCAGAUGUGCAGACCCCUGCGAUUUCCCCAAAUGUGGGAAAUUCAACUGCAUAAUUUGUGGUAGUGGGGUG
rfam:Fukomys damarensis contig116307, whole genome shotgun sequence.